CCAGACUCCUACGGGAGGCAGCAGUGGGGAAUAUUGCACAAUGGGGGAAACCCUGAUGCAGCGACGCCGCGUGAGUGAAGAAGUAUUUCGGUAUGUAAAGCUCUAUCAGCAGGGAAGAAAAUGACGGUACCUGAUUAAGAAGCCCCGGCUAACUACGUGCCAGCAGCCGCGGUAAUACGUAGGGGGCAAGCGUUAUCCGGAUUUACUGGGUGUAAAGGGAGCGUAGACGGUGAUGCAAGUCAGAAGUGAAAGCCCGGGGCUCAACUCCGGGACUGCUUUUGAAACUGUGUAACUGGAGUGCAGGAGAGGUAAGCGGAAUUCCUGGUGUAGCGGUGAAAUGCGUAGAUAUCGAGAGGAACACUCGUGGCGAAGGCGGGUUCCUGGACAUUAACUGACGCUGAGGCACGAAGGCCAGGGGAGCGAAAGGGAUUACAUACCGUA
rnacentral:rRNA from 1 species